rnacentral:lncRNA from 1 species
GUUCUAAAUGCAAAAGGAUGUGCAUAAACAGUCACGGGGAUCCCAAAUAAACGACGGGCCGAAGGCCCGUGUAUUUAGUUACAACGAAUAUACUUUGUUAAAGGGCCUCUGGUCUAAAUCAAGGAGGGCUUUUGGCCCUGGUUGUGAAACUACAACAACGAAAGGCCAGGUGUAGUUGUAGUUGUCGUUUAACUAGGAUGUAAACAACAAGACAGCUACUUCUCAGUGUAUGUUCUACAAUAAUGACUAUACUCCACGUUAUUUUCUAGAAAAAAAAGGCUUACGGUCGUGUGGAAACGUGUAAGGGCCGUGAUUCUUUCCUUGUCCCCCUUCGGUAAUAUCCUAGGGGGACGGCGUCCCCCUUUGGUCUUAGUCCCCUUGGCUCCCCUUGUCAUACGUCAUCCCCUAAAGGGGAAGGGCAUCAUCGUCUUCCCCUUUGGUGUUCUUCCCCUUCUUCCCCUUUAGGGGACUCCGUCCCCUUAAGGGGAAGAAGGGGUUCCCCUAAAGGGGAUGACCUCCCCUACGGUUCCCCUUUAGGGUAUGAAGAAGGGGGUUCGUCCCCUUUAGUUCCCCUUUAGGGGAUGAACCAAAGGGGUUCCCCUUCUUCAUCCCCUACGGGGAACCAAAGGGGAGGGAUGACGAAGGGGAUGAACCCCUCCGUUAUCCCCUUCGGUUCUUCCCCUAAAGGGGAACCCCUUCUUCCCCUUUAGGGGACUCCGUCCCCUAAAGGGGAAGAAGGGGAUGAACCAAAGUCAUCCCCAAAGUCUCUUCUUCUUCCCCUAAAGGGGAAGAAGGGGUUCCCCUAAAGGGGAAGAACACACCCCAAAGUCUCUUCUUCUUCCCCUAAAGGGGAAGAAGGGGUUCCCCUAAAGGGGAAGAAACACCCCUUCUUCCUUGUUAGUGUUCUUCU